AGCAGCGUGGCUUAGUGGAAAGAGCCUGGGCUUCGGAGUCAGAGGCUAUGGGUUCGACUCCCGGCUCUGCCA
rnacentral:tRNA from 1 species